GAACAAUUAUGACACUUCUCUAUUCCAAACAUUGUUUCCAAUUACAGGCCUUCAGUCUGAGCUUUUAAGAUGAAGAUAGGGAGGACAUGACACUCAGGGUAGUGUGGUGAAGAACUGUACCUCACUGAGCGCAAGUACUACACAAUUCCUUCCCAAAUUCGCACACCCCAUCUUCUGACUUCUUUAAAGUUAAUUGUGCCCUGCUAGGAUUGGAUGUCAAUUUGCAACCAGUUCCUUUUUGCGAUUGGAUACUACAGUUCACAGCUCCUCCCAUAGUGACAUCCCCUCGCUUUCUAGCCUUCUGAUUGGUCUCGAAAACGGACGGGGACGCAUUUGAAAGUAACCACGCCCCUCCACGGGAAGUGCCGUCUAAACAUCAAACGAGAUGAUUUGGAAAAAGUACUACAGCGGUCCCAGACACUUCAAUUGGCCAAUUUAUGGGAAGAGCUACUUAAGAGAGCUCUCGUAUUUCAGACUCGAAGUCACAGGCGAAAGUACAACACGCCUACUAGCUCCAGUAAAUUGUUACAGGUCUGAGUCCAGACUGAAGAGGUGAGGGAUCUGAUUUGACGGCAUCGACUAGUCAGCUGGAGAUGAAGUAGCUGCAUUUCCUGUGCAGAAGAGCGGUUUCUAUUGAACAGUGAGAAGAAGGAUGUGACAGAUGGGUAGACUUGAAGAUAUCCUCUCUUGUGGAAACAUCCUGUACUUUGGGCCCCUUGGACAGAGGAAAGUGUCAGGACUGCCGGCUGGUGGAAGAGUACAAAAUACAGGGUUGGACUUUGGAGAAUUCUGUGGCCAGCCUCAGGAAUUGACACUGAUUUCAGCUGGCUGGUGUUUGUGUUGAGAUCAUCCUUUUCACUUUUACUACUGUUUGUCAUACAAUAAAACAAUAUUCAUCCUCCU
rnacentral:lncRNA from 1 species